GACGAACGCUGGCGGCGUGCUUAACACAUGCCAGUCGAACGGAAAGGCCCCUUUGGGGGUACUCGAGUGGCGAACGGGUGAGUAACACGUGAGUAACCUGCCCUUGACUUCGGGAUAACUUCAGGAAACUGGGGCUAAUACCGGAUAGGAAUCCUUGCUGCAUGGUGGGGGUUGGAAAGCUUCGGCGGUUUUGGAUGGACUCGCGGCUUAUCAGCUUGUUGGUGGGGUAGUGGCUUACCAAGGCUUUGACGGGUAGCCGGCCUGAGAGGGCGACCGGCCACAGUGGGACUGAGAUACGGCCCAGACGCCUACGGGAGGCAGCAGGGGGGAAUAUUGCACAAUGGGCUGAGGCCGGAUGCCGGCACGCCGCGGGGGGGAGGACGGCCUUCGGGUUGGAAACCGAGUUCAGCAGGGGCGAAGCUUGUGGUGACGGUACCUGCAGAAGAAGCACCGGCUAACUACGUG
rnacentral:rRNA from 1 species